UCAUUCUGAAGUUAGAAAAGUUUUAGCAAUAAGUCUACAUAACCAAGCAUAGCAAAAUUAGCUUAUCCCGAAGUUGAACUAAUCAAUUGGAUAACAAGAUGUUCCAUUGUUGAUAUUUGGAAUAUUGGCUUAUCUUUUAUUUUGUUCAGCUUAGCAGUGCAACUCUGAAACAAGUGAAUGGAAGGUGUGGUGUUGUGUUUGUGUCGCUGACUUUACUUCAGCUUAAAGCGAGAUCCUUGCUUUUGGGUAUAUACACGAAAUUGAAGAUGAAGCUUUCAGCAAUGAUCAGUUCAUGCUCUUUUUUUCAUAUAAAAGUAGAGAAUCUCAAGCUAUAAUCGUAAGCCAUUGGUGCAAUCGAGGGAAAAUUUCAGACUAGACUCUGAGGCUUAAGUUAUGGUGUAAGUUACUAGGUAAUUUUUAUCUUCUUUUACCACAUGAACAAUAUUGCAGCAGUGAAUACAUCUUUAUGCCUAUAUGUUAGCCUCUUUAUUCUAGAAAGGCACAUCAAAAGCCAAGGUUAAACUCUUAAUUAGGUUGGCAUUUACUUCCCAAAGCCAGCGUUUUCACAUGGGCAGUUUUAUGUGCCACAUCAAGGGAAGGGAUGAAAGUGCUAGCGCCUGAUGAAUCUGGUGAUUUGAUCUUUCACUCUCUGCUAUGAUGUUUGCUAUGGGUUUAAAAUGAAUGGCUACCUGUUUUGUUGCUGAAGAUGGUGCACCUUGAUGUGUUUUUGGUGGCUAUAAGGCUUGGCUGGAUGGUCAUUGACUUCUAGGUUCAUAUAGAAGAGGCACAUAGACAGUGUUUAGUUUUGUGUACAUUUCCAAGUAGUGGCCUACGAACUAACUUCUCUGAAUAUCUGUUCUGUUUUGUGUAUUCUGAUGUGUAUCUGCAAUGGGUAGAUGUAUAAAAAAUUAGCUUUUUGUUUCCUGUUUU